GUAGGUGGCAAGCGUUGUCCGGAAUUAUUGGGCGUAAAGCGCGCGCAGGCGGUUCUUUAAGUCUGAUGUGAAAGCCCACGGGCUCAACCGUGGAGGGUCAUUGGAAACUGGAGAACUUGAGUACAGAAGAGGAAAGCGGAAUUCCACGUGUAGCGGUGAAAUGCGUAGAGAUGUGGAGGAACACCAGUGGCGAAGGCGGCUUUCUGGUCUGUAACUGACGCUGAGGCGCGAAAGCGUGGGGAGCAAACAGGAUUAGAUACCCUGGUAGUCCACGCCGUAAGCGAUGAGUGCUAAGUGUUAGGGGGUUUCCGCCCCUUAGUGCUGCAGCUAACGCAUUAAGCACUCCGCCUGGGGAGUACGGCCGCAAGGCUA
rnacentral:rRNA from 1 species